UACGUAGGGUGCAAGCGUUGUUCGGAAUUACUGGGCGUAAAGAGUACGUAGGCGGCAAUGUAAGUCUGAUAUUAAAGACUGGAGCUUAACUUCAGGAGUGUAUUGGAAACUACAUAGCUAGAGGAUAGUAGAGGAAGUCGGAAUUCCCAGUGUAGCGGUGAAAUGCGUAGAUAUUGGGAAGAACACCAGUUGCGAAAGCGGACUUCUGGGCUAUUACUGACGCUGAGGUACGAAAGCGUGGGGAGCAAACAGG
rnacentral:rRNA from 1 species